GUGCAUUUUCAUUUUACUUAUUUCCUGAUAAUCUCUUACAUGCUGAAGUGAUCUGUGUUUGCAUGUUGAUUCAAGAAAUAAUGUAUUUUUUUUUGUUGUAUCUACCUUACCAGACUGUUAUUGCAACACAGUCUCACUAUCAAUUCGUGCAUAUAUGCACAUAAUGCAUUUCAGCAAAUUUCGUGUGUUUUUGUGCGUUUUGGUGUGUCUUAAUUCGUGAGAAAAGACACGAAUUUUAUGUGCUUGUUAAUUCGUGCGAAAAGACACGAAUUUAACCAGUAGGCGACACAAGCCUUUUGCAACAACCAUAUAGACGCGAUAGUUUAUAUUUAAUUUGUGUUCUUCUUAAUGGCUAAUUCAACGUUAUGAAUAUACAGAAAUGUUGUCUUUGUUUAACCCUGUUUUAAAACGUGUCGUUGUAUGCCUAUAUGCACUGUUUUAGACUUUCUGAACAGAAUUUGAGAAAAGACGCACAUUUACGUGCGACUUAAUUCGUGGGAAAAUGUGUUUUAUUAAUGCCAAUUGCAGUUUUCUGUGCUUGAUUUCGCUUAAUACUUUGGAUACUGGUGCACUUGUAAUCAGAAGGCCUUUUUGUCAUGUAGGCAACAGUACACGAUUUUCUUAAUAACCCAUUUCAUAUUUCGUGGAGCCUAAAUCACACAAUUUUCUUCAUAAUGCAUGUAUUACAUGUUAAACAGGUGAAUGUAAAAUAAUGAAUUAUGUUGGCUUACACUUAUGGCACUUCCAAGGCCUUUCCAUUAUGGUUAUUACGGUAAUGUCACUCAUGUUAUAUACUUAGGCUACUGUAACGCGUUCAACCAGUUAGCAAGUCAGAAAUGUCCGUUUCCUAGUACCGACUGGCACUUGAAUGCAGUAUUAUGCUGCCUUCACCUUCUCGUGGGAAACGGGAAAAUGGGUAGUUGUUACUCCGACAUGAUUGUGUUCAAGUGCUUUUGAAGUCUGAACAAUUCUUAAACCAAUAAGAUUGGCCACACAAUUUUCUAAUUUCACACUUAUAAUUCCUAUUUGGAGGGUCAUUCAAGUGAAACUUCGCAGGCGGAACUAGGCAUUCCCGAGAACUCCGAUUGUACCUGAACGAGGCAUUAGUAUGUGUAAUAGCAGCCUACAUACAUAGCCUACAUCUGUCUUCAGAUUUAUUUUAUGGGUGAUUUUUCCAUUGAAGGAAAUAUAUUUAAUCUUCCACUCCACUCCACUCUUCCGAUACAUUUAUUUGCUGCAGACAAGAUGAUAUUCAACAGCUCCAAAUAAAGACCCUUCACACCUACCACCCUUCUCUUCAGACCACUCAGACCCACACCUACCACCCUUCUCUUCAGACCACUCAGACCCACACCUACCACCCUUCUCUUCAGACCCACACCUACCACCCUUCUCUUCAGACCCACACAUACCACCCUUCUCUUCAGACCACUCAGACCUACACCUACCACCCUUCUCUUCAGACCACUCAGACCCACACCUACCACCCUUCUAUUCAGACCAUUCAGACCCACACCUACCACCCUUCCAUUCAGACCCACACCUACCACCCUUCUCUUCAGACCACUCAGACCCACACCUACCACCCUUCUCUUCAGACCACUCAGACCCACACCCACCACCCUUCUCUUCAGACCACUCAGACCCACGGCUGACACCUUUAGUCUCUCUCUCUCUUUCUUUCUAUCCAUCCUCUUGAUACAGAUCUCUUGAUCCAUCCUCUGGCUGCAUUUUAAAAUGGCUCCUGGCUCCAGCCGUAAGCUGUGUCCUAGUUGUAACACAUCAAUAAGAGGAGCAUCAAAGAAGAGCCAGUUCUGUGGUGCAACAAUCCAGCUAAAGGUCAAGUUAGAGGCCCAAAAAAGGAAGGCUACAGAUGAAUGGGCAAAUAAGACAAUGAAACAUGGAAGAUAUGCAACCUUGGUUAAUGCAGCAAACAAGCUGGUACAUAGGUUCCACAAGGUAGGAGGGAACCCCCUGCUACUCCUCAGCAAGAGGAAAAAGGAUAACAUUUUGUCGUCGACUGCACUGUGUCCUCACAGUGGUAUGAUGAGUCAGACCUCAAUGGCAGCAAUCCAAAGGUUGUAUGAGGCAAUUGUGAAAGAACUGUCUGAUACAGUUGCCCCCCAGGAGACCAGCUACACCCCCAUCCUCAACCAGGUUGAACACCCGAUAUCCCCCACCACCCAGGAUGCCAGCUACACCCCCAUCCUCAACCAGGUUGAACCCCCGAUAUCCCCCACCACCCAGGAGACCAGCUACACCCACACCAAACCAAAGAAGACAGAGAGAAAGUCCUGUCGCCCUCAAAAAACCCUCCAACUCGCUGAGCAUGACAGUUCACCCCAUCCAAUCCCAUUCAACCCCAUCCAACCCCAUCCAACCGUAUCCUACCCCAUUCUACCCCAUCCAACCGUUUCCAACCCCAUCAAACCCCAUUCUACCCCAUCCAAGCCCGACCAAGGAAGAGGAAAUAUGACUACAUGCAAAAAGAGUGUCCAGUGCAUCCGGGGCAAAUGAUUUUCCCUAUUCUCAAGAUUUUUGCCAAUAGAACUUCAAAGGGGUGGCAAGAAAUGGGACGAUGACUGGAUCAAGGCCGAGGACCGCGUUUCUCCAGUUUAACCUACUUUAUGCACGAAUGUAUUCCUCACUCUCCCUUCACAUGUAUCACUGUCAAUCAUAAAUGGUUGGCCAAAUUCACCAUGAUUUACCAUUGAAACAUUCAUGGAGCGUCAGCAUGCCAACCAUUUCAUCUCAAUCAGUUUCAUGAGAAUAUGCAUUUAGAUAUUCUUCAUAUAAAGUGAGCUACAAACAUAUUGCAACAGUGACACAUUUUUUGUUGUUUUGGAUCUGUACUCCAGAACGUUGUAUUUUAAAUUAUACAAUGACUAUGAGGUUAAAGUGCAGACUAUCAGCUUUAAUUUGAGUGUAUUUUCAUCCAUAUCUGGUGAACCGUUUAG
rnacentral:lncRNA from 1 species